UNGGAGGUGUCUGCCCAGUCAGCUAACUGAC
rnacentral:piRNA from 1 species